rnacentral:rRNA from 1 species
AGAGUUUGAUCAUGGCUCAGGAUGAACGCUAGCGGCAGGCCUAAUACAUGCAAGCUGAACGGUAAAUAUUGUAGCAAUACAAUAUGAGAGUAGCGUAAGGGUGCGUAACACGUAUGCAAUCUGCCCUGUACAGGAGGAUAGCUCGGCGAAAGCCGGAUUAAUACUUCGUAAUAUUAUGGAGGGGCAUCUCUUUAUAAUUAAAGUCGCAAGAUGGUACAGGAUGAGCAUGCGUCUGAUUAGCUAGUUGGUAGUGUAACGGACUACCAAGGCGAUGAUCAGUAGGGGAACUGAGAGGUUGAUCCCCCACACUGGCACUGAGAUACGGGCCAGACUCCUACGGGAGGCAGCGGUAGGGGAUAUUGGUCAAUGGGUGAGAGCCUGAACCAGCCAUGCCGCGUGCAGGAAGAAGGCCUUCUGGGUUGUAAACUGCUUUUGCCGGGGGAUAAAAUUCCCAUGCGUGGGACAUUGAAGGUACCCGGUGAAUAAGCCACGGCUAACUACGUGCCAGCAGCCGCGGUAAUACGUAGGUGGCAAGCGUUGUCCGGAUUUAUUGGGUUUAAAGGGUGCGUAGGCGGUCUUGUAAGUCAGUUCUGAAAUAUCCCGGCUUAACCGGGAGGGUGGGAUUGAUACUGCAGGACUUGAGUGGAGUCGAGGUAGGCGGAAUUGACGGUGUAGCGGUGAAAUGCUUAGAUAUCGUCAAGAACACCGAUAGUGUAGACAGCUUACUAGUCUCAAACUGACGCUGAGGCACGAAAGUGUGGGGAUCAAACAGGAUUAGAUACCCUGGUAGUCCACACUGUAAACGUUGAUUACUCGCUGUGUGCGAUAUACAGUACGCGGCUUAGCGAAAGCGAUAAGUAAUCCACCUGGGAGUACGCCGGCAACGGUGAAACUCAAUGAAUUGACCG